UUAUAAGCAAAAAAUAACUUUUUAGAUUCAUUGAAUAAAUGAUGUAUGUGAUAUAUACUAUAGGCCAAAUACAUCAGUUAUUUAAUGAGCCUAAAAAGUUGUUUUUUGCUUAUAA
rfam:Medicago truncatula strain A17 chromosome 1, whole genome shotgun sequence.